rnacentral:rRNA from 1 species
AGAGUUUGAUCCUGGCUUAGGAUGAACGCUGGCGGCGUGCUUAACACAUGCAAGUCGAACGGAGUGUUUAAGGAAGUUUCGGAUGGAAUUAAAACAGCUUAGUGGCGGACGGGUGAGUAACGCGUGGGUAACCUGCCUUGUACAGGGGGAUAACAACCGGAAACGGUUGCUAAUACCGCAUAAGCGCACAGUGUUGCAUGACACAGUGUGAAAAGAUUUAUCGGUACAAGAUGGACCCGCGUCUGAUUAGCUAGUUGGUGAGGUAGUGGCUCACCAAGGCAACGAUCAGUAGCCGGCUUGAGAGAGUGAACGGCCACAUUGGGACUGAGACACGGCCCAAACUCCUACGGGAGGCAGCAGUGGGGAAUAUUGCACAAUGGGGGAAACCCUGAUGCAGCCGACGCCGCGUGAGUGAAGAAGUAUUUCGGUAUGUAAAGCUCUAUCAGCAGGGACGAUAAUGACGGUACCUGACUAAGAAGCCCCGGCUAACUACGUGCCAGCCGCAGC